rnacentral:ribozyme from 1 species
UGCCCAGCAACUCCUCCCUACCUCCUCGUGGUACCGGCCGGAAACUAUAAGCAACCUUAGGGAAGAUCGGGUAACCAAUCCCGGUGGGAACUUUGGUCAUAGGCUGACAGGGCAGG